rnacentral:rRNA from 1 species
UUUUGGUGAGUGGCGGACGGGUGAGUAACACGUGGGUAACCUGCCCAAAAGUGGGGGAUAACAUUUGGAAACAAGUGCUAAUACCGCAUAACAACUGCUUUCACAUGAUCGCAGCUUGAAAGAUGGCUCUGCUAUCGCUUUUGGAUGGACCCGCGGCGUAUUAGCUAGUUGGUGAGGUAAUAGCUCACCAAGGCAAUGAUACGUAGCCGACCUGAGAGGGUAAUCGGCCACAUUGGGACUGAGACACGGCCCAAACUCCUACGGGAGGCAGCAGUAGGGAAUCUUCCACAAUGGGCGAAAGCCUGAUGGAGCAAUGCCGCGUGAGUGAAGAAGGUUUUCGGAUCGUAAAACUCUGUUGUUGAAGAAGAACAUGCGUGAGAGUAACUGUUCACGUACUGACGGUAUUCAACCAGAAAGCCACGGCUAACUACGUGCCAGCAGCCGCGGUAAUACGUAGGUGGCAAGCGUUGUCCGGAUUUAUUGGGCGUAAAGAGAA